rnacentral:rRNA from 1 species
UACAGAGGUUCCAAGCGUUGUUCGGAUUCACUGGGCGUAAAGGGUGCGCAGGCGGUCGGGUAAGUCUGAUGUGAAAUCUCCGGGCUCAACCCGGAAAGGGCAUUGGAUACUAUCCGGCUGGAGGGUUGCAGGGGGGACUGGAAUUCUCGGUGUAGCAGUGAAAUGCGUAGAUAUCGAGAGGAAUACCCGUGGCGAAGGCAAGUCCCUGGACAAUUCCUGACGCUCAUGCAAGAAAGCUAGGGGAGCAAACAGG